GACGAACGCUGGCGGCGUGCUUAACACAUGCAAGUCGAGCGGUAAGGCCCUUUCGGGGGUACACGAGCGGCGAACGGGUGAGUAACACGUGGGUGACCUGCCCUCAGCUCUGGGAUAAGCCUGGGAAACUGGGUCUAAUACUGGAUAUGACUCCACGGUGCAUGUCGUGGGGUGGAAAGCCUUGUGCGGCUGAGGAUGGGCCCGCGGCCUAUCAGCUUGUUGGGGGGUG
rnacentral:rRNA from 1 species